CUGAACUUUGACUAAGAUUUCACAAACACUGAUUGUACUCUUGCUUCAGUAAAACCUCCAAGAGCUAUCUUUUCACUAAAAAGACUGUAACACAAAAUCACCAUGUCAAUUAAAGUUUGCAUUCUGUCGUGUUUGCCUUCCAUAUUGUUUUUGCCAUGUUUGCCUUCUGUAUUGUUUUUCUGAAAGUUUACAAAUAUUAAAACUGACCUCCAUGACUUGAUUGUGCUGGAAAAUAUCUGCACUGUCUAGUGGGGUUUUAGAAUGUGAAGGGCAAAGUACUUACAGGAAGGAAAUUGUAAGUUUUCUCUCCAUAUAAUCUAUUAGCAAGUUUCAGAAUAUAAGACGCUCCACGUUUGUUGAUAUCAGCAUUCAGACUCUGGAAUCUUGAAUGAAC
rnacentral:lncRNA from 1 species